AGCGAACGCUGGCGGUAGGCCUAACACAUGCCAGUCGAACGGCAGCACAGUAAGAGCUUGCUCUUCUGGGUGGCGAGUGGCGGACGGGAGAGGUAUAUAACGGACCCUACAUUUUCGUGGGGGUUAACGUAGCGAAACCUAAGACCAUACCGCAUCCGACCUACGGGUGAAAGCAGGGGAAAUUCGGACCUUGUGGGAAUGAACGAGCGGCUGUUGGAUUAGCUAGUUGGCGGGGUAAUGGCCCACCAAGGCGCCGAUCCGUAGCUGGUGGGAGAGAAUGGUCGGCCACACUGGAGCUGGAACACGGUCCAUGGUCCUACGGGAGGCAGCAGUGGGGUAUAUUGGGCAGUGGUCGCAAGCCUUGUCCAGCCGUACCGCGUGUGUGGAGAAAGCCUUCGGGUUGUAAAGCCCGUUUGUUGGGAAAGAAAAGCAUCAGGUUAAUACCCCGCUGUACUGACGGUACCCAGAGAAUAAGCACCGGCUAACUUCGUG
rnacentral:rRNA from 1 species